rnacentral:tRNA from 1 species
UGAAGGCUGGUGAAAUAAGCACAAAUGAAUUUGGAUCAUUAAAUGGAGCCAAUAAACUCCGUCUUCAU